AGCUUGAUAGCACAACUGGAUAGUGCGUCUGCGACACAUAGGGCUAGGCACAUGAUUUUAAACAGAAGAUCCCUGUUCGAUUCGGGGUCAAGCUA